CAGCAGCAGCAGCGGGAUCGACAGGUGAACCGGACGCCCUACGAGAGGCUAAUCUAGCCUCGAUGCAUGCCAACCCAGCCGGUCAGGUCACGCCAGAUCACCACAGACGUCACCAUCACCAGCAGUGACAGCACCACCGGCACCACCGGCAGGCGUCCGUCAUCACCACCGUCC